AGGGGGGAGGGGAAGAUGCAAAUGAGGACCUUCGGAGAGGGCUUUAAAAGGCUCUGAGAUGGCUCCGUGGUGGCACCACUGAGGUCUCCAUCAUGGACGCCAACGUGGCCUUCAGCCUUCUGCUCCUCUGCCUUCUGCUCCCAGGCCUCCGCGCGGCCGUGACCCUGGUGGAGAGCGGCGGUGGCCUCGUGGCCCCUGGAGGGUCCAUGGACCUCAUCUGCAAAGGCUCCGGCUUCACCUUCAGCAGCUUCGGGAUGGAGUGGGUCCGUCAGGAGCCCCAGAAGGGCCUCCAGUGGGUCACGGGGGUCACCAACGGUGGUGGCACCUCCUCUGCGCCGUCGGUCAAGGGGCGCUUCACCAUCUCCAGGGACAACGGCCAGAGCACGGUGACGCUGCGGAUGACCAACCUGAAGGCCGAGGACACGGCCACCUACUACUGCGCCAAAAGUGUGGUACCGGUGGUGCUACUGCAUGGUGGUGGUAUCGACGCGUGGGGCUCCGGGACCAUCGUCACCGUCUCCUCCGAUGUCCCCCGCCCCCCUCGCCUCUUCCCGUUGGCCCUUUGCGCCGUCCCUCCGUUGAGUCCCACCUACACCGUGGGUUGUUUGGCCACGAGCUUCAUCCCGGAGGAGGUGACCUUCUCCUGGCGAGAUGCCACCAACCGAAGCGUGGACCAAGGCGUGGUGACCUUCCCGGCGGUGGGCAGGACGGCCACCAGCCGCCUUGGGUUGUCCUACCUGGAAGGGAAGAGUCGGCAACCGUUCUUCUGCCGCGUCGACCACCCGCAAGGAGGAGCCGUCCUGGAGGUCUCCAACCCUGGUUCCGCCCCUUCGCUCCCCACCGUCACCCUCCACCCUCCAUCCAAGGAGGACUUCCAAGGUCCAUUCCGCAACUCCACCCUCCUCUGCCAAAUCCGCUCCUCCCGGCACCUCCAGGUCCGCUGGUUGAAAGAUGGGACCCUCCUCAAGGAAGGAAUCACCACCGAGAACCUGGUGGACAACCACCGAGGAGCUUCGGUGGUCAACAGCCGCUUGAGCGUCACCGAAAGCGAGUGGGACGCCGGCGCCGUCUACACCUGCCAAGCGGAGGAGGAGCUCCGGAACACCAGCAAAGCCCUGGAAUGUGGUUAUGGGACCUCCACGUGCGUGGAGGACAUCUCCGUCCAGGUCAUCGCGCCGUCUUUUGCCGACAUCUUCCGAGACAAAGCGGCCACCUUGACCUGUAAGGUGUCCAACCUGCCCGGCGUCGAAGGUUUGGUCAUCUCCUGGAGGAAAGAGAGCGGCGAGAAGGUGGCAACCAAGACAUCUCCUCAGGUCCUACAACCCAACGGCCUCUUCGGGGUGGAAGGGACGGCCACCGUCUGCGCCGACGAGUGGGACAACGGCGACGCCUACGUCUGCCGCGUCACUCACCCCGAGCUCCUCUUCCCCACCGAGGCCACGCUCCAGAAGACCAACGGUCGCGACACCAAAGCUCCUUCCGUCUAUAUUUUCCCCCCUCCCGCGGAAGAACUCUCCACCCGCGAAGUCCUCACCCUCACCUGUUUGGUGAAGGGCUUUAACCCUCCGGAUCUCUUCGUCCGGUGGCUCCGUAACGGAGAACCUUUGGCCGCCACGGACUACGUCACCACUCCGCCCAUUCCCGAAUCCCAAAUUCCCGUCUCCUACCUGACCUACAGCUCUUUGACCGUCGGAGGAGAAGAUUGGGCCGGCGGCAACGUCUACACCUGCGUCGUUGGCCACGAAGGUCUUCCGCUCCAAAUCCUCCAGAAAUCCGUGGAUAAAGCUUCCGGUAAACCAACAGCCGUCAACGUCUCCUUGGUUCUCUCCGACGCCGCCGGAGUUUGUUACUGAGUUGGGAUCCCAACCGCUAAAAGAGUCCAUUUGGGGGUUAAUGUUGAGGGAUUGGAGGAUUUUUUGGGGGGUGGGAAGAGGAGGAAAAGUGGUGAAAUGAGCGCAAAAAGUCAUUAAAUGAAGGCGAAAAGUCAUUAAAUUAAUCCAAAAUGUCAUGAAAUGACCCGAAAAGUUAUUAAAUGAA